AGUGAACGCUGGCGGCGUGCUUAACACAUGCAAGUCGAACGAGAACGGAUUAUAGCUUGCUAUAAUUGUCAGCUAAGUGGCGCACGGGUGAGUAAUGUAUAGGUAAUAUGCCUCUUACUAAGGGAUAACAAUUGGAAACGAUUGCUAAUACCUUAUAUUCCUUUUUAUCAAAAGAUAAAAAGGGAAAGAUUUAUUGGUAAGAGAUUAGCCUGUAUUGUAUCAGUUAGUUGGUGGGGUAAUGGCCUACCAAGACGAUGACGCAUAACUGGUUUGAGAGGAUGAUCAGUCACACUGGAACUGAGACACGGUCCAGACUCCUACGGGAGGCAGCAGUGGGGAAUAUUGCACAAUGGACGAAAGUCUGAUGCAGCAACGCCGCGUGGAGGAUGACACAUUUCGGUGCGUAAACUCCUUUUAUAUAAGAAGAUAAUGACGGUAUUAUAUGAAUAAGCACCGGCUAACUCCGUGCCAGCCGCCGCGGUAA
rnacentral:rRNA from 1 species